rnacentral:lncRNA from 1 species
AAUGGAUCCGAGAACGUAGAAAAACACCCCAUGCAUGAUGAGAGAAGCGAAGCAUUCUGGAAAAUAGACCGUUUUCCAGAAUGAAAGGUUGUGUCAAGAGGUGUUUAUCCAGUUCUUAGAGAUUUACCGAAGUAACCGCCCAGAAGAGUCAAGUAAC